CCUCAGUCGCCGCAUGCCUGGCCUGAUUCCUCGGCAGAGGCGCUCUCCAGCCCGAUGGUUGUGCUUACACCUUCCCGAAGACCGAAUGCAGCUGGCCACGUGGAAACUCGGGAGCUCCUCCCCGGGACCGUGCCAGGGGAGCUGGAGCCCCAGCAGGGCGGCUUCGUGGUUAAAUCCCUGACGCUGAUAUCUGAGAGCUUGAGUUCUUCACCUUCCAGUGGAAUAAUUAGGGAGGAAAUUCCUCAACUCUUCUCAUUCCUUCUGCAAAACAGAAGUACCAUUCCCAACCGCACAGAGCUGAGAUCUAAAUGAAAUGUAAAAGACGCGCAGAGUUCUUAAACGACUCUGGCACCCAGUAAACCUUCAAAAAGUGUUCAGUUUAAUCUAAGCGUCCUUGGAGGAUAGUUUUCUGAACACGAUAUCCAAGAGUGCAUAGGCAGAUAGGAGAAAUAACAAGAAAAAGAGAAAAGAAAGAUUUUACUGCCCUUUCUGCUGAGGUGGCAGCUGGAGAACAAAGCCGCCGGCAUCUCUCUAGAAGUUUGCGAUCCCAGCGGACCACCGCAGCCCCUUUACAAGCAGCACGGAGGAAUUCCUCUGUCUGAAUCCCUCAGUACCUGCACACAGGUGAUUUAUCCUACUCCAGCCAGCAUCAGGAACCACUGGACUAGAGACGGUCCAACAAGAUGGAAAGGGGUCCAGAAAUAUGGUCCUGAGGAGGAUUUGAAGCAAGUUGGUGUGUUUAGUCUUUUGGGGGUAUGGGGGGAGGAAGAAAGAUACCAGGCUGACUCUCUUCUCAUCAAACACAGGGCGUGUAAAAAUCUAUUCAGGCAAACACGUGUGUACUGUUGUGGACAACUAACAUGAAAAGCUAUCAAACAUGGAAUUUAAUUCUCAGUUUGCACAUACAUGGAACAUUGGAGGGUAAGCCAGGCUCUCUCUGCCUCAGUCUUGGAUCUAAACUGAGAGCUAAGUGAGGCAGAAACACAUUAAAUACCGCCCCUGGCGUCAAUAAGACUGUUUAGUCUUAGACUGGGCACCUUAGGUGUUCAGCUUUCUCAUGUGAAAACCAGAGAACAUAAUAGUUCCAUCUCAUAGUUGCUAUGAGGUUAAACCAGAUAACUAACAUGGAGGAAACGCUUAGCUCUGAGGCUGGCACACCCUGAAUGAUCAGCAAAGGGUCAUCUCAGACAUAUGGGAGCAGCAGCAUGCACCCCAUUUAAUUUCCUACUGAGCCCACUUAAAAAAUCUAGCCUCCCCUAAAACCGUCUAAAGUGUGACCCCAUUAACUCCUUUCUGUCUUCACAGCAAACUACAAAUCUCCCAGCCAACAUUAAGUAGAUAAAGCCCUGAUGUGAGAACAGAACGAGGUCAACCCUAUAAGCCAGCAGGAACACUUUCGAAUUUUCUAGCAUCUCUCAAU
ensembl:lncRNA